CCGCCAGCUCCUGUGAUGAUUAAAGCACAGCCCUGGGUAGAAGUCAGUGCUUUGUCUCCUCCAGACACGGUUUACUUCUCCUGUUCUUGGAAUGCACCGCUAUUUCCUUUUGAUUUCCUCCCUCCUGCACAGAGAGCUGACGCUGCCCCUUUGUUUACAGCCGUAGCCCUGAGGGAGUGCCACGACUUCAUAGAAGGCGUUUUUCCCAAUCUUCUCAUCUGUUCUGCCUCCAGCUCUCCCGGGCUCUGUGGCAGCGCUCAGGUUCCCUGACACACCGCCCGCCUCACGGCAGGGGGCUGCUUAGCGCCCGAGGUGAGCGGGGACUUCCCCGCCGCCUUCCCGAGAGGGGCAGCGCGGGCGCCGGCACCCCUCCCGCCCUUCAGACUGUGCGCAUCAGCCAGGCCUGUUUACGCUCGCGACCGGGCCGCCUGUCGCUAGCCCUUGGGUGGCGGCCAGGGCCCGCCGCUUUCCCGGAAGCGCCCGCUCGGUGGUUUCUUUGGUUCAGUAGCACCGGUGUGACCAGAACGUGGUCAGGCCAUUAGCAGCAACUCCAGGAACGACCACUCAGGGAUGAAGCAGAGGCUUCCCAAAGCGCCGGCUGCCCGCAGGAGGGAGAGGAGGGAAGGACCUGUCCUAUCUGAUUGGAGCCGGUAAGCUCAGACCUUCACAGACCAGAGCAAGGACUUCAGGAACCUCAGCUCCGUAACAAUGAGACUCGUCCACGUGAUCCUCGCCGCUCUCCUUGCCGUCUUCCAGGUACUGCCCGAUGGCACUAGGGCACUCAAUUUUGAAAGACCCUGCUAUCUUCGGGGUGGAAUCUGCCUGAAGCAAGGCGCGCCAAACUGUGAGCCCUUCAGAGGACCCUGCCGAGCGUUCACCGUCUGCUGCAGAAUUAAGGGGAGCUGAUGGAAGCCCAGCUUGGGGGGAAUCCUGGCAAGAGAGCUGGAGCAUGGCCCCUCUUGUGCAAAUAAAAGCGAACAGUUGUCAAGUCUGCACAGUCAGUUACUUUA